UACGUAGGGGGCAAGCGUUGUCCGGAAUCAUUGGGCGUAAAGCGCGUGUAGGCGGCUUCGUCAGUCCGUUGUGAAAGUCCAGGGCUCAACCCUGGAAUGCCGAUGGAUACUGCGGAGCUAGAGUCCGGAAGAGGCGAGUGGAAUUCCUGGUGUAGCGGUGAAAUGCGCAGAUAUCAGGAGGAACACCAAUGGCGAAGGCAGCUCGCUGGGACGGUACUGACGCUGAGACGCGAAAGCGUGGGGAGCAAACAGG
rnacentral:rRNA from 1 species